CCCAGCAUGGUGCAGUGGUUUGAACAUUGGACUAUGACUCUGGAAAUAAGGGUUUGAUUCCCUGUUUGGA